UGGGGAAUAUUGCGCAAUGGGGGGAACCCUGACGCAGCCAUGCCGCGUGAAUGAAGAAGGCCUUCGGGUUGUAAAGUUCUUUCGGUAUUGAGGAAGGUUGAUGUGUUAAUAGCACAUCAAAUUGACGUUAAAUACAGAAGAAGCACCGGCUAACUCCGUGCCAGCAGCCGCGGUAAUACGGAGGGUACGAGCGUUAAUCGGAAUAACUGGGCGUAAAGGGCACGCAGGCGGUUAUUUAAGUGAGGUGUGAAAGCCCCGGGCUUAACCUGGGAAUUGCAUUUCAGACUGGGUAACUAGAGUACUUUAGGGAGGGGUAGAAUUCCACGUGUAGCGGUGAAAUGCGUAGAGAUGUGGAGGAAUACCGAAGGCGAAGGCAGCCCCUUGGGAAUGUACUGACGCUCAUGUGCGAAAGCGUGGGGAGCAAACAGGAUUAGAUACCCUGGUAGUCCACGCUGUAAACGCUGUCGAUUUGGGGGUUGGGGUUUAACUCUGGCGCCCGUAGCUAACGUGAUAAAUCGACCGCCUGGGGAGUACGGCCGCAAGGUUA
rnacentral:rRNA from 1 species